rnacentral:lncRNA from 1 species
CAACGGAGAAAAGAAAGAAAGGGGAGAAGAGAAAAAGAAGAGAGAAGAAGAAGAGAAAAGAAGAAAGAAAAGAAGAGAAAAGAAGAAAGAAAAGAGAGAAGAAGAAAGAGAGAGAAAAUUCAGUGAGCCUCACAUAUUGUAAACUCUAAAGUUGUAGCCCUAUUAUUUUAUAUAGUGAAAAAGUUACUGCUGCUGCUCUCCGAGGACGUAUGCAUAGCCGAACCUCGUUAAAUGCUGUGUCUCAUCUACUUACGUGCAGCUCAAUAUUCAUACAUAUUCCAGGUUAUUUUUAUAACACGUUAUCAGCACGAGAAGCUCUCAGGUAUAAUUUUUGUGCUGCACUAUUAUCUAUACUACUAACCACUAACAAAAAUGGACCCUUGGUAAUACUAAACAUAUUAUCAGUGGGAGACCGUUACUAAUACUAACUUUUUCUUAUUUUAUUCGGUGGUGAUUUUAACCCCACAUUUAUUUACUGUAUGGUGUAGGUUUAUUACCCAUACAUGCACCUUUACUUUAUCACAAAUUUAUUUUACCGCAUAUUUAUUUUAUUUACUGUAUGGUGUAGGUUUAUUACCCAUACAACAGUAUUUAUUUAAAAGGGUGGUGCGGGUUUAUCGUCCACGCCUUUGCUUUUAUUUAAAUGUAUGGAGCAGAAUUAAUGCCCAUACAAGCACCUUAACUUUAUGAAUUUAAUUUACCGCACAUUUACAUUUAUUUAAAGUGUGGUGCGGGUUUAUCGUCCAUACCAGUAAUUUAUUUAUCAGCAAUUUAUUUUAUGGAUUAAUUGUGCUGUAUGAUGAGUUUUUCCAGUAUGCAGAUCAGGACCAGAAGUUCCUUGAUCCUCAUCAUACAAUUACAUCAGGACUUGAAGAUCCUUGAUGAUGAUAUUAAAAUGAGAGCUGGCAGUCUCACCGGUACUGUAUUUGUAAACAUGUGAUUGGACUUAAAGGUCCUUGAUCCCUGACAUGUAAAUAAGGACCUAGAGUUCCUUAAUGAUGUAACAGUACCGUAUUGGUUCAUAGUGCCGUACAUAUUGAUGAUAACUGUACUGGCAGAUGAAUAGAUACGUAUUCAUGACUUGAUGAAUAGUACUAUUCACAUGAAUAGUGACGUAUGCAUAAAUAUUAACCAUUUUGGGUAAACCGUCACUAUAUACAAAAGGGAACCUGCAGUUCCUUAAACUCAUGGAUGAGCAAUUAAAUGAGAUGCCAGAAGUUCCUCAAAAUAUGGACAAUUAUGUAAGGGCUUGAAGUCCCGAAAUAUGUACAGAAAAUUGUAAAAAUGUCCAUACCAUGAGAAUAUGUGGCUUUGGCCUGAAGUUCCAAAUUUAACAGUGUUGAGAACCUGAAGUUCCAACAAUUAAAUGGACAACCCUUGAGGUAUUAUUGCAAAUUGUGGUAUGCCACAUAUUUCUUUGGCAUAAGAAGAUGAUGAAUUUAAUAAAGUUCGAUUUUGUUAUAAUCGACACCUCAAGGAAGAAAUAUAUUUUGUGAAUUCCGGUUGUUAAGAAUACACCGCGAAAUGGA